rnacentral:rRNA from 1 species
GACGAACGCUGGCGGCGUGCUUAACACAUGCAAGUCGAACGGAAAGGCCCUGCUUUUGUGGUGUGCUCGAGUGGCGAACGGGUGAGUAACACGUGAGUAACCUGCCCUUGACUUUGGGAUAACUUCAGUAAACUGGGGCUAAUACCGGAUAGGAGCUCCUGCUUCAUGGUGGGGGUUGUAAAGUUUCGGCGUUUGGGGAUGGACGCGCGGCUUAUCAUCUUGUUGGUGGGGUAGUGGCUUACCAAGGCUUUGACGGGUAGCCGGCCUGAGAGGGUGACCGGCCCCAUUGGGACUGAGGUACGGGCAAGACUCCUACGGGAGGCAGCAGUGGGGAAUAUUGCACAAUGGGCGGAAGCCGGAUGCAGCAACGCCGCGUGCGGGAUGACGGCCGUCGGGUUGUAAACCGCGUUAGCCUGUGACGAAGAGUGAGUGACGGUAAUGUGUAAAGAAGCACCGGCUAACUACGUG